GACCCAUGUGGAAAUGCUAAAGCGACGGCUUCAACGACAAAGCCACCAUGCUUUCUACAGCUAGGGUCUUCGCCUGCAACUUCAAACCCUCUCAAUCUCCGCCAUUACGCAGCAAAACCCAGAUGGAGGCACGAACCAGAAGCCCACAAAUCACCUUCUCGAGAUCUGGCUCUCUUUCCCCUCCAAGGGAAAGCCUCAGAGAAGAGAAUGGUGGUGGAACUGCCAUUGCGUUGCAGGAAUGGCAGGGUUGGGGAACAGAGUCUCCGUUACCUGAAAGGGUUGCUGAGAUUGUUCAUGAAUUGAAGUAUUUGGAGAAAGACUUCAAUGCGGAGAUGAGUUUUGGUGGGGUUGGUGGUAAACUGCAGGGAGAUUUCAAGAUUCAAGAGGAUAAAAAGCACAGAGCAACUUAUCAGGCUUUAGGUGAUUCUGAGAAAAAGCUCCAAUUCUUUUCAGCUCGACAAAUAGCAUGCCGCUUGCUUGGAAGUAGGGGUUACCUUUGUCAGAAGUGCUGGCUUGCUCUGGAAGAUUGUAUGUGUUCUAAAGUGAUUCCUUGCGCUCUAUGGCAUGGCAUACGGUUCUGGUUGUAUAUGCAUCCAAAGGAUUUUCUACGGCAGAACAAUACUGGAAAGUUGCUGUGGCAAGUGUUUGGUGUUAAAGCUGCAACUUUGUGCCUCUUUGGCAUUGCUGAACAUGAAGAGAUCAUGUGGAAUACAUUUGCACUUGCAGGGAAAAGCAAUGUUUGGUGCCUUUAUCCCAAUAAGAAUGCGCCAACAAAAUCAGUUCAGGAUAGCUUUGCUCAGGAAUCUUUGGGAGGUCUAGAAUGCCCAUCAACACAGACAAACAGAGAAAAAAUUCUGAACUUUAUUUUAAUUGAUGGCACAUGGAACAACUCCGCAGCAAUGUUCAGGCGUUUGAAGGAACAAGCAAAGUUAGCUUGGGGAGAGGAGGAUCUUCCUUGUAUAUCUCUGGCCAUGGGUGCCUCUGCAAUGCAUAAACUUCGGCCCCAACCAUCUUGGGAUCGUACCUGUACAGCAGCAGCAGCCAUUGGCCUCCUCUCUGAGCUCCAACUUAUUCCAGAGUUUGGCUCAUAUGGAUUGGAUAAGCAAGCAGAAGCAGUGGAAGAUGCCUUAGCAGUUCUAUUAGAAGCACUCACAGCUCGACGCCUUCGCAUGGGCAGGUCCAUCUCUCGUAAGCAGAGACACAACACUGACAUCUGUUAACAACUAACCAAGAAUCACAUUGUCAGCAGCAGGAGGAUGCGUUUUUUAGGUACCAGGUCUCCCUUUGGUUUGCAUGGUAACCAAGUCAAGGACCAAGUUAUGAGUAUGGCAUCGUGGACUAGCAACACAUUAUGUUUCUGCAGUCAUUGUAUGCUUCAGAUACGGUAGGCCCCUCUUUUUUCUUAGAGGGUUUUUGGUAGAAUUUAAUGUUUAAUGACUUAAAGUGACUUUAAGUUAUUGUGCUCAAAUCAUUGAGUCAUAUUAAGUCAUUAAGUUGAUUUACCAAAAUCAUUUUUAAGUUAUUAAGUCAUAUUAAGUCAAGAGGUUGAUUUAUCAAACACCCCUCUAGUCUCAAACUUUUUAGUUUUGCUUACUGAUUGAUGUGGUAUUGGAUCAAAACAGUCGUCACAGUUGAAAGUUCCAUUGAACUCAUAUUGGUUGUAUCCAUACACUACAUACAUUGAGAAUCCUUCUUUGCAGACAGAAUGAAAUGAUCUUGAACUUAAUCAAGUUCAGGUUUGCUUUAUA